AAGCCAUGAUGCGGGCAGACCUGUUGAUACUCCUUGAAACGAACCCAAGCGGCUUUUAAAGCCUCAGCUGGACCUUGGGUGAAGGUAGACAGCUUGUUUCUUAGCUC
rfam:Arabidopsis thaliana chromosome 2, complete sequence.